rnacentral:rRNA from 1 species
AUUGAACGCUGGCGGCAUGCCUUACACAUGCAAGUCGAACGGCAGCAUGGAGAGCUUGCUCUCUGAUGGCGAGUGGCGAACGGGUGAGUAAUGCAUCAGAACGUACCGUGUAAUGGGGGAUAACGUAGCGAAAGUUACGCUAAUACCGCAUACGACCUGAGGGUGAAAGCAGGGGAUCGCAAGACCUUGCGUUAUACGAGCGGCCGAUGUCAGAAUAGCUAGUUGGUGAGGUAAAGGCUCACCAAGGCGACGAUCUGUAGCGGGUCUGAGAGGAUGAUCCGCCACACUGGGACUGAGACACGGCCCAGACUCCUACGGGAGGCAGCAGUGGGGAAUUUUGGACAAUGGGGGCAACCCUGAUCCAGCCAUGCCGCGUGAGUGAAGAAGGCCUUCGGGUUGUAAAGCUCUUUCGGCCGGGAAGAAAUCGCACAGGCUAAUACUCUGUGUGGAUGACGGUACCGGCAUAAGAAGCACCGGCUAACUACGUGCCAGCAGCCGCCGUAAAAC